GAUGAACGCUGGCGGCGUGCUUAACACAUGCAAGUCGAACGAUGAAGCCCAGCUUGCUGGGUGGAUUAGUGGCGAACGGGUGAGUAACACGUGAGUAACCUGCCCUUAACUCUGGGAUAAGCCUGGGAAACUGGGUCUAAUACCGGAUAGGAGCGUCCACCGCAUGGUGGGUGUUGGAAAUAUUUAUCGGUUUUGGAUGGACUCGCGGCCUAUCAGCUUGUUGGUGAGGUAAUGGCUCACCAAGGCGACGACGGGUAGCCGGCCUGAGAGGGUGACCGGCCACACUGGGACUGAGACACGGCCCAGACUCCUACGGGAGGCAGCAGUGGGGAAUAUUGCACAAUGGGCGCAAGCCUGAUGCAGCGACGCCGCGUGAGGGAUGGCGGCCUUCGGGUUGUAAACCUCUUUCAGUAGGGAAGAAGCGAAAGUGACGGUACCUGCAGAAGAAGCACCGGCUAACUACGUG
rnacentral:rRNA from 1 species